rnacentral:rRNA from 1 species
AAAUGCUUAGAGAUUACAUAGGAAUACCAAUUGCAAAGGCAGGUUGCUACCGGUGGAUUGACGCUGAUGGACGAAAGCGUGGGUAGCGAACAGGAUUAGAUACCCUGGUAGUCCACGCCGUAAACGAUGGAUACUAGCUGUUGGGAGCAAUCUCAGUGGCUAAGCGAAAGUGAUAAGUAUCCCACCUGGGGAGUACGAACGCAAGUUUGAAACUCAAAUAAAUUGACGGGA